UUGAGAAUCACUUGAGCACUAGGGGGAAGCCGGGAAGAUUCUAUCUCACUUCUGCUCUUUCUGGGCCUGUGUUUCCUCUGUUGCUACAGACAGGCUUUCUGUACUGCCCAUCCUCCCCUACACCUCACAGUAGUCUUCGUGGUAGAAAAUGGCCACCAAUAAUUCCCAAAUUUAAAUCUCUUUUGGAGCACUAACCAAAUUGAGACUAGCAUCCAGUUCCAGUUGCAAAUUCUGGGGGAGGAGCUCAGGUGGCCCAGGUUGUGUCAGCAAUCUCCUCAAGGUCGUUCCCAGUAUAACUCUUGAAUGGAGGAAUGUUGGGGUUGGGAAGGGCCAGUUCCCAGAAAAGAGGUGGGGGAGGCAGAAAAAACAAUGGGUAUCCCUUAUGGGAGGCAAUAGAAGAAGAUCUAGGAUGACUAAGCAUCUUGGUUUGCCUGGGACUUUCCUAGUUUUAGCACUGAAAAUCUCUACUCCCGGGAAACUCCUUGGUCCUGAGCAAACUAGAACAAUUGGCCACCUGAGAAGUGAAAAGUGGGGCAGGAAAGGAGGGGCUUUCACUUUUCGGGGGGUGCACAAAAGGAAGAGAAGGGGUCAGGCCCCACUGAGAAAAAAGUGACAAUCAGAGAGGGAAGAACCACAGAAGUCGGAGUCCUAGAAGGUGAAAUAUAUGGGCACUGGGGGAAGAGGGAAGUAUGAAUGUCCGACGCCAUAGAGAGAUCUAGAAGACUGGAGGACAAUGAUGAGGGCUUUGGGUUUGUUCACGGAAAGAGGCCUUGGAGUCUAGAGCCAGCAGCUUGGAACUAGAGCAGCCACGUGGAGCCUUUUGCAUUUGCGAGGGAAGUGCAUCCUCCCAUCAGCCUGGUUUGACAACAGUCUGGCCCAUAUCACACCAGCCCCAAUGCAUCGCUUAAUAUCCUGAAGAAGUAAAACUGGGCUAAGUGUCAGUAAACUGUGGAUAUAAAAUGACAUAAAAAUUAAUCUUGUUGGGAGGGCAGCCCCGUGACUGAAUGGUUAAGUUCAUGUGCUCCGCUUUGGCGGCCCAGGGUCCCCUGGUUCAGAUCCUGGAUGCAGACCUACUCACCGCUCAUCAAGCCAUGCUGUGGUGGCAUCCCACAUAGGAGAACUAGAAUGACCUACAACUAGGGCUAGGAACUGAUUGCUGCAUUCAACUGCGACCACCCAGCUCUCACCCGUGACCACCCAGCUUGAGACAGCAGACCUGCCACCCUGCUGUGUCCAUCAAUUGCCGUGCCAACAGAGCAGUCUUGUGAUUAUUGUAAAAGGGACAUUUCAAUCAUAUGUGAAACAUGCUGUUUGAGGGUAUAUAACCA
rnacentral:lncRNA from 1 species